rnacentral:lncRNA from 1 species
UGACAUCCCUUGUCCUGGAACUGGGCUUGGACCGGAUUCAGGAGCUGCCAGAGUUAUUCUUGGGACAGAACGAGUUCGACUUCAUUUCAGACUUUGUUAGCAAACAGCAACCCAGUGCCAUCAGCUGCUGAGGGGCUUUGAGCUCCUCCUUGUGUCUUGGUGGUUUUGAGUUUGUUUCUAACUUUUCCCCACCUGCCAUCCUCCUCCCUUCCCCUGCCUUGCCCUGUCCCGGAUUCCUGCCCUCCCCAAAGGGACAAUCAUCGGACACUGGCUUGCAAUGGAUUGCUUUUCUCUUCUGUGUGUUUUUUUUUUUCUGUGUGGGAGUUUCUGGAGAGGGGGUUGGUGUGCCCCAAACAGAGAGCAGAUCGAGAGCUCCUGCUGUAGAACUGCCUCUAAAUGACAUUAACAGGAUUUCUGGCUUAAGUAGAAAUAAUGGACUUACGACUUUCCUCAACCAGGCUUGGAGCACAAGAAGCCAUAGGCAGCUGGCAGCCCUGCUGGUAGCUGGAUUUGCUCGUGGAAUCCGUGGUGCCAGUGGAGUUGAAGGAUCCUUAGAGAGAAUUGUCUCCCUGGUGCAUGGUUUGAACCAGUUUUCCCUUGCAACCGUGGGUGGGGUUAGUUAUUUGUUGGGAUGUUUUACUGUGACAGUAAAUAGGUCUUCAGUCGUGUCUGUUCAGCUCGGGAAGGGUGUGCGUUUGUGCCUAAAUGUUCAUCUCCGUGGAACUUCGGAUCUCGGACCUGUACUGCUAAUCAGCUGUAAAAUUUACCAAGUGUUUGAGGUUGAUUCAGGCAUGAGGCUUAAAGCUGCAGUCUGGCUCCACUUUUUUCCACCUCUGAAACCAAAUAAAGACCAUGUAACUGUAUAUUUCAGUUCCAAUCUUAUUUAUUUUCCUGCGAUUAUUUAUUUGCAAGGGCUCCUUUUGUUAUUUGGCUUUGGGACCGCUGGGAAAGAUGCCUGGAGAGUACUGCAGCUUUAAGAUGCUGGCUUUGGGCAAAGCGAGCCGGGGAUAGUUUUCAAGCUGCUCUGCAGAAUAGUCGCUUCAGCUCGAGAUGGUUAUGCUGAACGCGCAGGACUCUAAAUCCAACACCUCUGUGAAUGUGAUAAAGAUGACUCGAUUUCCAAUUCCCUUGCUCGGAGAAGGUGAGAUGCAGGAGCCGGCGGGGUUCGGUUUCCUGCGCUGGCUCCUGUUUCCAGCGCUCCGGUGACUCCGGGCUGCUGCUGCCCCCUGGUGCUGCCGGGCCCUGGGCGAGUCGGAAUGUACGGCUGGAUUUGCGAAUAAAAGCUGAAACAUCUCCCGUGUGCGUUUGUUC